AACUGGUUACUGACCAGCCUGAUUGGGUUCUGAGUGACCAGACAAAUAGAAGGUGGAAUAGUUUGUGUUUUUACCCUGCUAAAAGGGAUUUAUUCCUGCUUAAGGUUCUUGCUCAGUGACUGCUUUUUGGGAGCAGCCUGUUCUUUAUUUUACCAGGUUUAUGCAUUUUCCCAUGCAAUGUAAAUACUUGUAUUUUAUUUAAGCCAUCUGUGGUGAGAUAUUCAGUAUCUCUGGCUUUGGGAUAAGGCAGGAAAAAUUCUUGAAACCCAGCUAGAAGAUAUUUGGACAAUGGCACAGGUCAGGCUGCAAGACUUGCCCUUGAUCCCCAUCAGGGUUUAUCAGCCAUUAAUCCCCUCUGCAGCACAGUUCCAUCUGGGAAUGUAAGUGGUUACAAGUGUUUGGACCUUUUAUUCAAUGUGCCAUGUGCUUUAUUUUCACUUACAGUAUUUGGUGGCAUCACAGCUGUUGGGUUUUUGUAAUAGAAUGAGCUCUUACAGCUAAAAUGUCUGUAAAAAUUGUAUAACAGUUUAUUGUUUUAAAAAGAAGUGUGCUAUGUCAGGCCCAAACUGUCUGUAAAAUAUUUUAACAGAUGAAAUUUAUUUGACUCCAUAGCUGUAGAAACCUUAUUUUUUUUUCUAAAACUGGGACAUUUGCUAAAAUUAUUGUUGAAAUGUGGAGAAGUACCUUGCUGGUUGUUUUACACAGUGAAUUGGAAGAAUGUUUCACAUUGAAAAGUAACUGUGUUGGAAAUACCUCUCUGUACAAAGGUCAGCAGGGAUGUUCAGUGUCCUGAGCUUUCCCUCGUGUUGUAUCAUCAUAAAAUUAAAGGGAAUGACAAAGUUUGUAACUUUGGACUCAGAGAGUCAAGGAAAGGACAGGAGGGAAGGGCAGGGGGUGGCCCAAAGGAUCAGUGUCACAUCCUUGGGAAUGCUGCAGGUGGAGGUGCCAAGGGAGGAGCAAACCCAGAAGGUAAAGGAGGAGCACUCAGUGAGGUUGCACUGGCCCAACACAGACCAAUUUAUUAAUGAUAAUAUUUUUACACUCAUAAAUAGUAAAGGCAGUUUAUACCAAAGGAAAGGUUUCCCUUCACCCUCUCUUCUGGCAGAGCUGCCAGAACACCAAAGCAGCAGCAGAGCAGACAGCUCUGAUGCCCAGCCCUCCUCAGGCAGGGAGAGCUGCCUGCCAUGGCUUUGGGAGGGUUGGCAUUGGCCAUGCAGGGAAAAUCAGGCUUUCAGUCAAUAUACAGAAUUUUUUCUACAGGCUACCAUGCUGGCAGGAUUGGCAAUACUUUGUAUUCAGCAGCUGAAACAUCAAUCUGAAGCAGUGGAAAGAGACUUUUUCUGUAUGGGUACACUUGUCUAACUGGGAAUGUGGUGGAGCUGCUGAUUAAAAAAUUAAACACCUCUUAAUCAGGAUGUGGUACCAAAUAUAAACAUUUACUGUUGUGGAAAACCUGCCAGUUUAGUUAAGUGCAUGUGCUGCACUGGACUGCAGAGAGAGCUCCUUUUCAACACAUCUGAAUUCCCCCCAAACAUGCAAAUAUCUGUGGAGUUUAAGUCUGAAUUCCUAUAUUAAGAUCUAUGUAUAGUUCAGAUUAUUUUGUAUAGCAUUUUUUAAUCCCACCUCCACCAGGUGUGAUUAAAUUCAAUCCCACCUCUUGCCUCAGACAAUUCUCUAGCCAAGCUCAGGACGGGCACACCCCAGAGCCUGGCAGCUCUUCAAAUCUCCUGAGGAUGUUUUGUUGAGGAACUUUUUCAGUUUGGAAAAGCCACAGCACUGCACUGAGCUGUGUCUCAGGCUUUGCUGCUUCCCACAGCCCUGAAGGAGGCGCUGGUUUGAGCUGUGCCCCCGAGCAGGGCAAUAAAUCAAUAAAAUCCCUUUGGGCCA
ensembl:lncRNA